rnacentral:rRNA from 1 species
AUGCACACAUUACAUGUCUCGACGAUGAAGAAUGAUCUUCAUCUCAUGCAACUUGUUCAUGUUGCUCUGUCCCUCCUUUCUAUAAUGGACUCUGAGGGUCUUCAGUUCCGCCCUCUCGGCCUUCAGGAGCCGUAUCUCCUUCUUCAUAGACUCGGUCUUGGUGACCAGUUUGUCCUUCUGGUCGAUGAGCUUCAAUUUCUGUUGCAGUUUAAGCAUGACAACUCUGUUGCAUUUCAGUUCUUGUCAGAAAAUUGCCGUGCUUAUGCAAACACAAAUUUUCAUCUUUAUCAUUCUCGUGACAAUUAA